rnacentral:lncRNA from 1 species
CGAUGACAGGGAAAUGAAUCAGGCAGAUUCAGCCUGCGCAACCCCAGCUGUUUCCAGGCAAGCUCUGCACAGUGGAGCCCGGGUGGGACCAGAUGAAGGCAGGAACAAAGGCGGCUUAUGGGAGGCCCAGAAUGUCCCUUUCACAUUGGACCCUGGGAGCCCCAGGAAUUAGCACAAACAGUGAAAUGGUCCACGAUGGUAACAGUAAGGCUCACGUGUGCAGCGCCAUGUCAUUUACAAAAUGCUGGCACAGGCAGCACCCCCGGGAGCCUCACAACUUCCGGUGAGGGAUGCAGACCGGAUGCCGUCUCUCAUGGAGCGUCCCAGAGUGAUCCUCCAGCAUCCACCUCUGCGGCUCACAGCGCCACCCAGUGGUCAGACCCGUGGCCCGGCUCCAUGGCUCCCUCGGGCCCCUGGCUGGGCAGAGCCCGGAAUCUAAGGUGCUCUUCCCGUGAGCCCCUCCUCUGGGGCGUUGCUAGGACAUCUGAUCAGAGGCGUUCGGAGGCCCAGCACUGGCCCCAGAUCAGCCCCAACGCCAAGGGAAGGCUGUGCCCCGGGACACCUGAGAUGCAAAGAUGACUGAUGCACACGGUUCACUGACGACCAUCCGACUGUUCCGAGAAAUGGAGAAACCAGAAGGAAGAGCCUGGCCCCACAGGAAGCAGAAGACAGACCUGAUCCUCCAAGAAGCCAGGCUUGAGCUCCGCCAGGGGCCACUCACCCCAUUCAGGAGAAGAGAGAGAUUCGCCCAUCAAGCGGGUGCAGCUGGCCGCUGAGACGCGGCGCCUAGGAGCUGAGUUCCGGGCCCGCAUCGCAUCGCAUCGCAGAGCCGUGGCGCCGUCACAGAAGUUCGAAUGCACAUUAGGGUGCCAAGACCCCUACAAAGAUCCGCAGCGAAGAAAUCUCUUCAAUUUUCUUCAAUUCGUCAUUUCCAAACGUUAUUGAUCACAGAACAUUCUCAUCCCUUUUUUUUGGAAAAUCAAUUAAGAUCUUCAGGAAUAUAAUCUUUGAUAAAUUAGUUGGGGAAAUUAUGAAUGAGGUGAUUGCUAAAUUCGCUUUAAGCUAUCAAUGUGUCAUAUUUUUGGAAAAUAGGAGUCCUAAAUUAGGAGACACUAUCUAAGUUAAAAAUGAAAUCAUUGGGGCUGGCCCCGUGGCAGAGUGGUUAAGUGUGCGCGCUCUGCUGCGGCAGCCCAAGGUUCGGAUCCUGGGCGCGGUCAUGGCACUGCUCGUCAGGCCACGUUGAGGCAGCGUCCCACAUGCCACAACUAGAAGGACCCACAACUAAGAUAUACAACUAUGUAC